GACGAACGCUGGCGGCGUGCUUAACACAUGCAAGUCGAACGGAAAGGCCCUGCUUUUGUGGGGUGCUCGAGUGGCGAACGGGUGAGUAACACGUGAGUAACCUGCCCUUGACUUUGGGAUAACUUCAGGAAACUGGGGCUAAUACCGGAUAGGAGCUCCUGCUGCAUGGUGGGGGUUGGAAAGUUUCGGCGGUUGGGGAUGGACUCGCGGCUUAUCAGCUUGUUGGUGGGGUAGUGGCUUACCAAGGCUUUGACGGGUAGCCGGCCUGAGAGGGUGACCGGCCACGUUGGGACUGAGAUACGGCCCAGACUCCUACGGGAGGCAGCAGUGGGGAAUAUUGCACAAUGGGCGGAAGCCUGAUGCAGCAACGCCGCGUGCGGGAUGACGGCCUUCGGGUUGUAAACCGCUUUCGCCUGUGACGAAGCGUGAGUGACGGUAAUGGGUAAAGAGGCACCGGCUAACUACGUG
rnacentral:rRNA from 1 species